CUAAUACCCGAUACCGUCCUCGGAGUUUCGGCUCUGAGGAUAAAAGAUGGCUGAGGCUUGCAAGCUAUUGCUCCAAGAUGAGCCCGCGUACCAUUAGCUAGUUGGUAGGGUAAUGGCCUACCAAGGCAAUGAUGGUUAGCUGGUCUGAGAGGAUGACCAGCCACACUGGAACUGAGAUACGGUCCAGACUCCUACGGGAGGCAGCAGUGAGGAAUCUUGCGCAAUGGGGGCAACCCUGACGCAGCAACGCCGCGUGAGUGAUGAAGGCCUUCGGGUCGUAAAGCUCUGUCAGGUGGGAAGAAAGGUUUCAGGGUAAAUAAUCCUGAGAAUUGACGGUACCACCAGAGGAAGCACCGGCUAACUCCGUGCCAGCAGCCGCGGUAAUACGGAGGGUGCUAGCGUUGUUCGGA
rnacentral:rRNA from 1 species